AAAGGAAUAGACGGGGGCCCGCACAAGCGGAGGAACAUGUGGUUUAAUUCGAUGAUACGCGAGGAACCUUACCUGGGUUUAAAUGGGGAGUGACAGGUUUAGAGAUAGAUCUUUCUUCGGACACUCUUCAAGGUGCUGCAUGGUUGUCGUCAGCUCGUGCCGUGAGGUGUCGGGUUAAGUCCCAUAACGAGCGCAACCCACGUUGUCAGUUACCAGCACGUAGUGGUGGGGACUCUGACAAGACUGCCGGUGUAAACCGCGAGGAAGGUGUGGAUGACGUCAAAUCAGCACGGCCCUUACAUCCAGGGCUACACACGUGUUACAAUGGCCGGUACAGAGGGCAGCUACACUGCGAAGUGAUGCCAAUCCCAUAAAACCGGUCUCAGUUCGGAUCGGAGUCUGCAACUCGACUCCGUGAAGCUGGAUUCGCUAGUAAUCGCGCAUCAGCCAUGGCGCGGUGAAUACGUUCCCGGGCCUUGUACACACCGCCCGU
rnacentral:rRNA from 1 species